GCGAACGCUGGCGGCAGGCCUAACACAUGCAAGUCGAACGAACCUUUCGGGGUUAGUGGCGGACGGGUGAGUAACACGUGGGAACGUGCCUUUAGGUUCGGAAUAACUCAGGGAAACUUGUGCUAAUACCGAAUGUGCCCUUCGGGGGAAAGAUUUAUCGCCUUUAGAGCGGCCCGCGUCUGAUUAGCUAGUGGUUGAGGUAAUGGCUCACCAAGGCGACGAUCAGUAGCUGGUCUGAGAGGAUGAUCAGCCACAUUGGGACUGAGACACGGCCCAAACUCCUACGGGAGGCAGCAGUGGGGAAUCUUGCGCAAUGGGCGAAAGCCUGACGCAGCCAUGCCGCGUGAAUGAUGAAGGUCUUAGGAUUGUAAAAUUCUUUCACCGGGGACGAUAAUGACGGUACCCGGAGAAGAAGCCCCGGCUAACUUCGUG
rnacentral:rRNA from 1 species